AAUAUCGCAUAGGGGUGCUGGUGUAUGCCGGCUGAGAGAAGGGAGUUUCCCUCAACCCUUAACCUGAUCUGGGUAAUGCCAGCGUAGGGAAUGAGUAGAUUUCUAUU
rnacentral:ncRNA from 2 species